CGGCGUGCUUAACACAUGCAAGUCGNACCAUGGNCANCACUUGUGGGGGGAUUAGUGGCGAACGGGUGAGUAACACGUGAGUAACCUGCCCUUAACUCUGGGAUAAGCCUGGGAAACUGGGUCUAAUACCGGAUAUGACUCCUCAUCGCAUGGUGGGGGGUGGAAAGCUUUAUUGUGGUUUUGGAUGGACUCGCGGCCUAUCAGCUUGUUGGUGAGGUAAUGGCUCACCAAGGCGACGACGGGUAGCCGGCCUGAGAGGGUGACCGGCCACACUGGGACUGAGACACGGCCCAGACUCCUACGGGAGGCAGCAGUGGGGAAUAUUGCACAAUGGGCGAAAGCCUGAUGCAGCGACGCCGCGUGAGGGAUGACGGCCUUCGGGUUGUAAACCUCUUUCAGUAGGGAAGAAGCGAAAGUGACGGUACCUGCAGAAGAAGCGCCGGCUAACUACGUGCCAGCAGCCGCGGUAAUACGUAGGGCGCAAGCGUUAUCCGGAAUUAUUGGGCGUAAAGAGCUCGUAGGCGGUUUGUCGCGUCUGCCGUGAAAGUCC
rnacentral:rRNA from 1 species